CACUAAAUAAAUAAAUAAAUUGCUUUAUUCUUUGACUUCUAUAAAUAUCGCCAAUUUGGUGCUCGUGUAAGAGUUUGUGUAUCUGAAAUAGUAAUUCCUUGUGUGUUCAAUCGCCGAUUGACUCUGUAGUCUUUUAAUUGAUUAAUUCUCCGGUCUCAGUGCUACUACUUUUUAAACUGUGAAUUUAAAAUUAAUUCGUCUUUUUUUCGAACGGUCUAUUUAUUAACAUCUUCGGCUGAUUUUGGGCCUUUGUAUGUGUAUUUAGCGCGGGCAUUAAUUAAACGAAGAUAAAUUGAAAUUGAAAAACUUCAAAUAUUUGUCUUUUUCGUAAGCCAAAGGAUACAUUUUAGCGAAUAAAUAUUUGUAUUAGGAAUUAUGUAACAUAUGUUAGAAAAUUGUGGUACAGUCAGUUUUUCAAACUCAUUCUUCGAAACUUUCAUACUUUAUUGGCCGACUUAUUUUUCAUUGCAUUUUCUUAAACAGAACUAUUGACCAUGUCGAAGAACUUUUCACAAAAACGUUGUAUACCUUCAGUUUAGUAUGUUUUGUGCUGUUUGUGUAGAAAAAUCUGUAAUUUUUAAUUUGUGCUUCAUGUGAUUUGUUGUUGUAUGCAUAGUUCACGAUAAUUUUUAUUCUACAAUGCAUUUACUUACAAAGUUAAACGCGACUGUAUCUUCCCUGCUCCCGACAGGAACUACUGUUAUUUGGGUUACUUGAUUUUAUUGUUUUUGUGGAAAUUUGCUUGAUACGUAUUGGGAGCACCAUUGGCGGUGUGUCAUGGAGUUUUAGCCGGUCUCGGGAAUUGACAUUUGCGUACAACUUUGUCACUGAACACUCUCUUUCAUAAUUGAUUUUGCACUGAACGUACUGUGCUGUAUUUUAAAUUGAAUAUACUCGACAAAUUACGUGUAGACAGACAGACAGACAGACAUCCCUCCACCCUGUUCGGCGCGCUCCACCAAUACGAAACACCGAAACAGCAACCGAUCUCAGUUGAGAGAUGAAACAUUCGUACGGACGAGUGGAUAUUAUCUGACCACUGCGUGUUUGUUUAAUGCAGUCUGUGUCAAUAUCAUACUGAUUUCGAAAAAAUGAUUGAUGCAAGUUAUAUGUAUUAAAUUAACAUUUUAUGGCUUGCGCUUUUCAUAUGUGGAGUGUGUGUUUAUGAUUAGUAACUAUUUUUACGUUCGUGAAAUUAUCUAUCAUACCAGAUUGGGAAAAUAUAUAUAUAUAUAUCUCGCGUUGCACAGAAUUAGGUUAAAAUAUAUUUUUGUGCCAUUGAGCGUUGAUCUUUUAAUCGUGUUCUCAAAUGAUACAUUCUUCGUGGUUUGCAACAAUUCCAUGAUGACCCACUGUAGAUCGUAAUAUACUAAUUUAAACCCACGAAAUUUAGCGGGAACCAUAUGUACCACCUGUUUUAACAGUCAGUAGCUGUGAAUUUUGUACCGGUCAGUAUAAUCUGGGAUUAUUUACUCAAAACAGCAUUAACAGAUUGGUCUUUGUAAUUAUGAAUUGUUGUGUUUUCUUUGCGGUACGGACAGAAUUAUUUAAUAUGUAGACGAGCUUCGGCUAUAAAGGUCAAGCUAUUGUGGAAACGUUUAAUUCUAACGUGUAAUAUUGUAGAAUGCUGUAACCAUAGAAAUGCAGACGCGGAUUGAACGUGGUGAAGCAGUCAGUUAUCUCGUGAACACGUCACCGUCUGCUGGAAGAAUGAGUCGUCGGAUCGAGCUAUUUUGAAGCUUCUUACACAUUCUGUUUAUAACCGCGCGAGAGUGUGUUUCGGUACCUUUUAGUGGCGUCUAGUCUACGUACUCCGGAGUUCGUGUUCUGGUAUUUGGUUGUCAUAGCAACUUGUACGGAAGUGAAUUCUUAUACGCUUAACUCCUGCGGUUAAAAUCAUUGUGCAACAGCUUCUGGACUGUGAAGAAUCGGAUAUUGUUACUCAGAGUUCAUCUUAGUUCGAGAAGUUUUCAUUCGUUAGACCCGGAAGUUAUGAAUGAUCUGUCCCAGUUCUGUGACUAGUGGCGUAGAAAGAUAAGCGGUUGGAGAAUGUCUCAUUACCGCCCUUUGUGAAGCGCUACUUGAAAAUUACACAGUCUACAGUGUGUUCUGUAGAACAGUGAACGGUACUUUUGCGUCAUGAAUCGGCCCGAAUGGAGUCCGCCGUGGUCACCUGUUCCUUGAUGUUCAUCUCUCCUUCCACAGUGGGAUGUUACUGACAUAAUGCCUUUCAUCUGCCAAUUAACAUGAGCAUUUAACGUGAUUUAAUUUAAUCAAAUAUCUUUUAAUUUAACCUGAUUUAGUCAAAUAUUAAUGCAGAAAAAUGUAAAAAUACUUAUUUACGUCUAUGACAUGUUUAUUCUGUGUAUAUUAAAAUUUUACUGUAAUAGUAUUUGUUAAAAAACAAGACCGUUUCUGACCUGGUCAGGUGCAUGUGUACCUGACCAUGUUUGGACUAAUCUUCAAGAACGCACAAAAGUUGCAUUAUCGCUGUUUGUGGUAAUAUAUAUUUUUUUAUUUUCAAACUUUUUUCUUGGCAGAAAGAAUGCACUCGGUGGUUACAUGUAUAAACUGAGACUUCCUGAUAGGAUGUCUUUUAGCCAUUGUAAACAACAUUGUUCUCAAAAUUAAGAUACCUGAUAAUUUAAUAAAUUGUUUUUUCUCUCUCGUAA